rnacentral:rRNA from 1 species
UGAGCAAUCUACCCUUCUCAUCGGAAUAAGCGUUGGAAACGACGUCUAAUGCCGAAUACGACCUCCUUUCGCAUGAUCGGAGGUGGAAAGCUCCGGCGGAGAAGGAUGAGCUCGCGGCCUAUCAGCUAGUUGGUGUGGGUAAUGGCCCACCAAGGCGACGACGGGUAGCCGGCCUGAGAGGGCGACCGGCCACACUGGGACUGAGACACGGCCCAGACUCCGUACGGGAGNAG